rnacentral:rRNA from 1 species
UCAAUACGCUAUCAGAUGAGCCUAGGUCGGAUUAGCUAGUUGGUGGGGUAAUGGCCUACCAAGGCGACGAUCCGUAACUGGUCUGAGAGGAUGAUCAGUCACACUGGAACUGAGACACGGUCCAGACUCCUACGGGAGGCAGCAGUGGGGAAUAUUGGACAAUGGGCGAAAGCCUGAUCCAGCCAUGCCGCGUGUGUGAAGAAGGUCUUCGGAUUGUAAAGCACUUUAAGUUGGGAGGAAGGGCUGCUGGUUAAUACCCUGCAGUUUUGACGUUACCAACAGAAUAAGCACCGGCUAACUUCGUGCCAGCAGCCGCGGUAAUACGAAGGGUGCAAGCGUUAAUCGGAAUUACUGGGCGUAAAGCGCGCGUAGGUGGUUGGGUAAGUUGAAUGUGAAAGCCCCGGGCUCAACCUGGGAACUGCAUCCAAAACUGCCCGACUAGAGUACGGUAGAGGGUGGUGGAAUUUCCUGUGUAGCGGUGAAAUGCGUAGAUAUAGGAAGGAACACCAGUG